rnacentral:tRNA from 3 species
GCGGGUAUCGUAUAAUGGCUUUUACACUACCUUGCCAAGGUAGAGAUACGGGUUCGACUCCCGUUACCCGCUCAA